rnacentral:rRNA from 1 species
CCUUUCGGGUGGGGAAUAACGUCUCGAAAGAGACGCUAAUACCGCAUGAUGCAGCGGCACCACAUGGUGACAGUUGUUAAAGCGGGGGAUCGCAAGACCUCGCGCCUGAAGAGAAGCCCGCGGCAGAUUAGCUAGUUGGUAAGGUAAUGGCUUACCAAGGCAACGAUCUGUAGCCGGCCUGAGAGGGCGGUCGGCCACACUGACACUGAAUAACGGGUCAG